rnacentral:rRNA from 1 species
CAGCGAUUCAAUCGUUGGACUGCGGGGGAUACUGUCCAGCUAGGGGGCGGGAGAGGCCGACGGUAUUCCCGGGGUACGGGUGAAAUCUUAUAAUCCCGGGAGGACCACCAGUGGCGAAGGCUGUCGGCUAGAACGCGCCCGACGGUGAGGGAUGAAAGCUGGGGGAGCGAACCGGAUUAGAUACCCGGGUAGUCCCAGCCGUAAACGAUGCAGGCUAGGUGUUAACGCGGCUACGGGCCGCGUUGGUGCCGCAGGGAAGCCGUUAAGCCUGCCGCCUGGGGAGUACGGCCGCAAGGCUGAAACUUAAAGGAAUUGGCGGGGGAGCACCACAAGGGGUGAAGCUUGCGGUUUAAUUGGAGUCAACGCCGGAAACCUUACCGGGGGCGACAGCAGAAUGAAGGCCAGAUUGAAGGUCUUGCCAGACAAGCUGAGAGGAGGUGCAUGGCCGUCGCCAGUUCGUGCCGUGAGGUGUCCUGUUAAGUCAGGCAACGAUCGAGACCCGCAUCCCCUGUUGCAACCAGCCUUGAGCUGGGCACACUGGGGAGACUGCCGCCGAUAAGGCGGAGGAAGGAGCGGGCCACGGCAGGUCAGUAUGCCCCGAAUCCCCCGGGCCACACGCGAGCUGCAAUGGCAGGUACAAUGGGUUCCAACCCCGAAAGGGGAAGGCAAUCCCUAAAGCCUGCCGUAGUUGGGAUCGAGGGCUGAAACCCGCCCUCG